AGGCUGUAUUUAAGAACCGACGAAUUAUUUGUAAAUGUCAUGGAAUUAAAAGUCAUUGUGCAUUUAAAACAUGUUGGAAUCAAGUACAGGAAUUUAACGUCAUCGGUGAUUAUCUGAAAGCAAAAUAUCGUUCAGCUGUUAAAGCAACUCUUCUAAAAAGAAAAGAUGGAAAGGUCACAUUAAAAGUAAAAAAUAACAAUUUAUCCAAUAACAAACUUGUUUACACUGACGUUUCACCAAGUUAUUGUCUCAAAACUGUCGGUCGAUCAUGUAGUAAUACUAUAACUGGGCCUGGAAGCUGUCAAUACCUUUGUUGUGGACGGGGCCACAAUACUGAAAAUCGAGUGGUCUCGAAAAAUUGCCGCUGCAAAUUUCAUUGGUGUUGUGAUGUGAAGUGUGACAUAUGCCAAGAAAACGUCCAAGUGCACACAUGUCGUUAAUAAUUCAAUGUUUCAAACGAUGAUCUUGUAUAAAAAUUUAGGAGCUGACAGAGUGAGGACACUAUCGUAUUUGAUUGAUUGAUUUGAUUGAUUUAUUAAAAUUAAGAUCACAUGGCAGUAGAAACUGAAUAGACGAUUCCCCUUAUUACAUUUUCGUAGCGCUUUGCAUUGUGGUUAUAGUGGUAUCACUGAUAUUCAAGAUGGCUUAUGUUUUGUCCUCAACCGCGCAAGAACUUUUAAAAAAAGCUAGGGUCAGGUGCACGAUAUUCAACAGCAAAAUAUUCACGAAAACAUUCAAUAUUUUUAUUCGAGGCCGCUAUCUUUAUCAGUGAUACCACUGUAACCACAAUGCAAAGCGCUACGAAAACGUAACAAGGGGAAUCGUUUAUUGCGUGACUUAUUACAUGUAGGUAAUUUACUCUAAGAUCUUUCGAAUUCAAAUAAAGUUUAUUGUAUUGUAUUGUAUUGUAUUGUAUUGUAUUGUAUUGUAUUGUAUUGUAUUGUAUUGUAUUGUAUUGUAUUGUAUUGUAUUGUAUUGCAUUGUAUUGUAUUGUAUUGUAUCUUAACG